rnacentral:rRNA from 1 species
AACCGGGGGAACUGAAACAUCUAAGUACCCCGAGGAAAAGAAAUCAACCGAGAUUCCCCCAGUAGCGGCGAGCGAACGGGGAGGAGCCCAGAGCCUGAAUCAGUGUGUGUGUUAGUGGAAGCGUCUGGAAAGGCGCGCGAUACAGGGUGACAGCCCCGUACACAAAAAUGCACAUACUGUGAGCUCGAUGAGUAGGGCGGGACACGUGGUAUCCUGUCUGAAUAUGGGGGGACCAUCCUCCAAGGCUAAAUACUCCUGACUGACCGAUAGUGAACCAGUACCGUGAGGGAAAGGCGAAAAGAACCCCGGCGAGGGGAGUGAAAAAGAACCUGAAACCGUGUACGUACAAGCAGUGGGAGCCUCUUUUAUGGGGUGACUGCGUACCUUUUGUAUAAUGGGUCAGCGACUUAUAUUCUGUAGCAAGGUUAACCGAAUAGGGGAGCCGAAGGGAAACCGAGUCUUAACUGGGCGUUAAGUUGCAGGGUAUAGACCCGAAACCCGGUGAUCUAGCCAUGGGCAGGUUGAAGGUUGGGUAACACUAACUGGAGGACCGAACCGACUAAUGUUGAAAAAUUAGCGGAUGACUUGUGGCUGGGGGUGAAAGGCCAAUCAAACCGGGAGAUAGCUGGUUCUCCCCGAAAGCUAUUUAGGUAGCGCCUCGUGAAUUCAUCUCCGGGGGUAGAGCACUGUUUCGGCAAGGGGGUCAUCCCGACUUACCAACCCGAUGCAAACUGCGAAUACCGGAGAAUGUUAUCACGGGAGACACACGGCGGGUGCUAACGUCCGUCGUGAAGAGGGAAACAACCCAGACCGCCAGCUAAGGUCCCAAAGUCAUGGUUAAGUGGGAAACGAUGUGGGAAGGCCCAGACAGCCAGGAUGUUGGCUUAGAAGCAGCCAUCAUUUAAAGAAAGCGUAAUAGCUCACUGGUCGAGUCGGCCUGCGCGGAAGAUGUAACGGGGCUAAACCAUG